rnacentral:RNase_P_RNA from 1 species
CCAGACGGCCGGACGGCCGCUGCCGGGGGCAACCCCGGUGGAGGAAAGUCCGGGCUCCACGGGAAUACGGUGCCGGCUAACGGCCGGCGGGGGCGACCUCAGGGAAAGUGCCACAGAGAACAGACCGCCCGCGCAAGACGGCGACGUCCCGCGGGCAAGGGUGAAACGGGGCGGUAAGAGCGCCCCGCGCCCCCGGCAACGGGGGCGGCACGGCAAACCCCACCGGGAGCAAGACCGAAUAGGGGCGACCGUGGGCGGUCCGCAGGGCCGCGCCGCAGGGGCAUUCCCGCCCCGUCGCCCGGGUUGGUCGCGUGAGGCAUGUCGCGAGACAUGUCCCAGAGGAAUGGCCGUCCCAGCCGCAAGGCUGGACAGAACCCGGCUUACAGGCCGUCUGGCACC